AGCCCUGUAAGACCUUCAUUUGGCGAAUAAAGGCUUUUCCGACGGGCUUUGGAUCCCGCGACUCGGGUUCGAAUCCCGGCGGGGCUACCA
rnacentral:tRNA from 1 species